AAAAGCCCCCUCGCCGUAAGCGCAAGGUUUUCUACGCAACGUUCAUCGGCGUAGAGUGAGUCGGCCCCUAAGGCGAGGCAGAGAUGCGUAGCUGAUGGGAAACAGGUCAAUAUUCCUGUACCGAUGUGUAGUGCGAUGUGGGGACGGAGAAGGUUAGCUCAGCCAACUGUUGGAUAUGUUGGUUCAAGCCUGUAGUCGUGCCUGGUAGGCAAAUCCGCCGGGCUUAGAUGAGGGGUGAUAACGAGUCUGCUUGCAGACGAAGUGAGUGAUACCCUGCUUCCAGGAAAAGCCACUAAGCUUCAGCUACACACGACCGUACCGCAAACCGACACUGGUGCGCGAGAUGAGUAUUCUAAGGCGCUUGAGAGAACUCAGGAGAAGGAACUCGGCAAAUUGAUACCGUAACUUCGGGAGAAGGUAUGCCCCAAGUAGGUGAACUCGAACAGAGGGAGCCCAACGGGGUUGCAAAAAAUCGGUGGCUGCGACUGUUUAAUAAAAACACAGCACUCUGCAAACACGAAAGUGGACGUAUAGGGUGUGACGCCUGCCCGGUGCUGGAAGAUUAAAUGAUGGGGUGCAAGCUCUUGAUUGAAGUCCCAGUAAACGGCGGCCGUAACUAUAACGGUCCUAAGGUAGCGAAAUUCCUUGUCGGGUAAGUUCCGACCUGCACGAAUGGCGUAACGAUGGCCACACUGUCUCCUCCUGAGACUCAGCGAAGUUGAAAUGUUUGUGAUGAUGCAAUCUCCCCGCGGAAAGACGGAAAGACCCCAUGAACCUUUACUGUAGCUUUGUAUUGGACUUUGAACAGAUCUGUGUAGGAUAGGUGGGAGGCUUUGAAGUGAUGUCGCUAGAUGUCAUGGAGCCAACGUUGAAAUACCACCCUGGUGUGUUUGAGGUUCUAACCUAGGUCCAUUAUCUGGAUCGGGGACAGUGCAUGGUAGGCAGUUUGACUGGGGCGGUCUCCUCCCAAAGCGUAACGGAGGAGUUCGAAGGUACGCUAGUUACGGUCGGACAUCGUGACGAUAGUGCAAUGGCAUAAGCGUGCUUAACUGCGAGACUGACAAGUCGAGCAGAUGCGAAAGCAGGACAUAGUGAUCCGGUGGUUCUGUAUGGAAGGGCCAUCGCUCAACGGAUAAAAGGUACUCUGGGGAUAACAGGCUGAUACCGCCCAAGAGUUCAUAUCGACGGCGGUGUUUGGCACCUCGAUGUCGGCUCAUCUCAUCCUGGGGCUGUAGCCGGUCCCAAGGGUAUGGCUGUUCGCCAUUUAAAGAGGUACGUGAGCUGGGUUUAAAACGUCGUGAGACAGUUUGGUCCCUAUCUUCCGUGGGCGCUGCAGAUUUGAGGAAGCCUGCUCCUAGUACGAGAGGACCGGAGUGGACACACCUCUGGUGUAUCGGUUGUCACGCCAGUGGCAUUGCCGAGUAGCUAAGUGUGGAAGAGAUAACCGCUGAAAGCAUCUAAGCGGGAAACUCGUUUCAAGAUGAGAUCUGCCGGGGCCUUGAGCCCCCUGAAGAGUCGUUCAAGACCAGGACGUUGAUAGGUCAGGUGUGGAAGCGCAGUAAUGCGUUAAGCUAACUGAUACUAAUUGCUCGUGAGGCUUGACCCUAUAACUUUG
rnacentral:rRNA from 1 species